rnacentral:rRNA from 1 species
UAAGCGGAGGAAAAGAAACUACAAGGAUUCCCCUAGUAACUGCGAGUGAAGCGGGAAAAGCUCAAAUUUGGAAUCUGGUGGUCUUUGGCCAUCCGAGUUGUAAUUUAGAGAAGCGUCUUCCGCGCUGGACCGUGCACAAGUCUCCUGGAAUGGAGCGUCAUAGAGGGUGAGAAUCCCGUCUUUGGCACGGAAUCCCAGGGCUUCUGUGAUGCGCUCUCGACGAGUCGAGUUGUUUGGGAAUGCAGCUCAAAAUGGGUGGUGAACUCCAUCUAAAGCUAAAUAUUGGCGAGAGACCGAUAGCGAACAAGUACCGUGAGGGAAAGAUGAAAAGCACUUUGGAAAGAGAGUGAAACAGUACGUGAAAUUGUUGAAAGGGAAACGCUUGAAGUCAGUCGCGUCGACCGAGACUCAGCCUUGCCUCGGCUUGGUGUACUUCUCGGCUUGACGGGUCAGCAUCGAUUUCGAUCCUCGGAUAAUGGCAAGGGAAAGGUAGCACCUUUUUAGGUGUGUUAUAGUUCUCUGUCGCAUGCGAGGGUCGGGAUCGAGGAACUCAGCACGCACCUCAGGGUGUCGGGGCCUUGGCCCACGUUUACGUGCUUAGGAUGCUGGCGUAAUGGCUUUAAACGACC